GAUGAACGCUGGCGGCGUGCCUAAUACAUGCAAGUCGAGCGAACAGAUGAGGAGCUUGCUCCUCUGACGUUAGCGGCGGACGGGUGAGUAACACGUGGAUAACCUACCUAUAAGACUGGGAUAACUUCGGGAAACCGGAGCUAAUACCGGAUAAUAUAUUGAACCGCAUGGUUCAAUAGUGAAAGACGGUUUUGCUGUCACUUAUAGAUGGAUCCGCGCCGCAUUAGCUAGUUGGUAAGGUAACGGCUUACCAAGGCAACGAUGCGUAGCCGACCUGAGAGGGUGAUCGGCCACACUGGAACUGAGACACGGUCCAGACUCCUACGGGAGGCAGCAGUAGGGAAUCGUCCGCAAUGGGCGAAAGCCUGACGGAGCAACGCCGCGUGAGUGAUGAAGGUCUUCGGAUCGUAAAACUCUGUUAUUAGGGAAGAACAAAUGUGUAAGUAACUAUGCACGUCUUGACGGUACCUAAUCAGAAAGCCACGGCUAACUACGUG
rnacentral:rRNA from 1 species